GAUGGGCGCUGGCGGCGUGCUUAACACAUGCAAGUCGAACGGAAAGGCUCCUGCUUGCAGGGGUACUCGAGUGGCGAACGGGUGAGUAACACGUGGGUGAUCUGCCCAGCACUUCGGGAUAAGCCUGGGAAACUGGGUCUAAUACCGGAUAGGACGAUGGUUUGGAUGCCAUUGUGGAAAGUUUUUUCGGUGUGGGAUGAGCUCGCGGCCUAUCAGCUUGUUGGUGGGGUAAUGGCCUACCAAGGCGUCGACGGGUAGCCGGCCUGAGAGGGUGUACGGCCACAUUGGGACUGAGAUACGGCCCAGACUCCUACGGGAGGCAGCAGUGGGGAAUAUUGCACAAUGGGCGCAAGCCUGAUGCAGCGACGCCGCGUGGGGGAUGACGGCCUUCGGGUUGUAAACUCCUUUCGCUAGGGACGAAGCGCAAGUGACGGUACCUGGAGAAGAAGCACCGGCUAACUACGUG
rnacentral:rRNA from 1 species